GUGAAUCAUCAAAUCUUUGAACGCAAAUUGCACUCUCUUCGGAGAGUAUGCCUGUUUGAGGGUCAGCCUAAAAAAAAUCGACAUCGUUGCUGUUUCGCGGUGGCGUUCGUCGGGAAGUGGGUUAUGUUAAAUCUUGGGUGUAAGCGACUGAAAAUUUUCUUUACGAUUCCAUGAACGGUUCCAAGAUUUAGUUCUUUACACGGUUAAGGUAUCGAUGUGAUUAGGCGUGGUCGUCAUAGCUGAUCAUGUCCAUAAUUUUUCGUUAACUGACCUCAGACAGGUAAGAGGAGCCGCUGAACGU
rnacentral:misc_RNA from 1 species